CAGGUUGUUUUCACCUCCCUGUGUCUGCUUUGCAAGAAUAUCUCUCCCAUCAGAAGUGAGGACCCUUCGAUUCUGCGUGCUUCUUGUUUCUGGGGUCAUCUGAAUCAUGACCUUCCAUUGGGACACCUGGAUCAGGAGUGCAAUGCGUCAUGGACUUUUAAAAGGAGUCCCAGGUUCCUUAUCGUAAAAUGGGGACUUGGCAGAGGCAGCUCUGGUAUCGUUGAGAAUAGUCACAACAAGGAGGUCUGGGUAGCCCUGAAGACCACUGAGGGAGUGCCUUUUCAGGACAGUGAUGGUGAAGCUGCUUCCCGAAUGCCCACUCUCUGCUUACGGAGCAUCGAGCAUCGCUCUGUAAGUCUGUGAAAACCAGCUG
rnacentral:lncRNA from 1 species